UUGCUUUGGUAACACAUACACUAAAGUUAGAAAGAUACAGAGAUUUGCAUGCUCUGGGGCAAGGACAACAUGCAAACAAAAGACAUAUGCCAUAAUUUU
ensembl:snRNA U6 U6 spliceosomal RNA